rnacentral:rRNA from 1 species
GAUGAACGCUGGCGGUAUGCUUAACACAUGCAAGUCGAACGGUCACUUCGGUGAUAGUGGCGGACGGGUGAGUAACGCGUGAGAAUCUGUCUUCAGGUCGGGGACAACAGUUAGAAAUGACUGCUAAUACCGGAUGUGCCUUUGGGUGAAAGAUUUAUUGCCUGAAAAAGAGCUCGCGUCAGAUUAGCUAGUAGGUGGUGUAAGAGACUACCUAGGCUCCGAUCUGUAGCUGGUCUGAGAGGACGAUCAGCCACACUGGAACUGAGACACGGUCCAGACUCCUACGGGAGGCAGCAGUGGGGAAUUUUCCGCAAUGGGCGAAAGCCUGACGGAGCAAUACCGCGUGAGGGACGAAGGCUUUUGGGUCGUAAACCUCUUUUCUCAAGGAAGAUGAUGACGGUACUUGAGGAAUAAGCAUCGGCUAACUCUGUG